rnacentral:snRNA from 1 species
AUACCUUUCUCUGCCUUUUGGCUAAGAUAAGGUGUAAUAUUUGUUCUUAUCAGUUUAAUAUCUGAUACGUGGACCAUAUGUUCACUCUUAAAUUAAAUUAUUUUUUAUGGGUAUCAAAUAUGAUUGUGUCGUCGCCACUCAUGAUAUGUGGACCAUAU